GUAUACUCCCGCUGUUAGUUGAAAUGACUCAAACACGGUAAAUGACUAUAUGUUAAGAAGAGAACUACUACUGUAUUGACUAACCAAGCCGCCAUUACUCAGCCCGUUAAAAUAUAUUUCUGUUUCGGUAUCUUUAGCGCAAAUGUUAGAUAUUCAAACGAAUAAUUGCAGUGUUAUUCAGUUUAAAGGUAGUUAAAAAUAUUCAGUCAUGUCCCAAUUUUUAAUUUCUGAAAAUCAAAAAAAAAAAAACCCAUCCAUGUCCUAUUUUCAUUUUCUGAAAAUCAAAAUAACUUUCAUACGGUGUAUUGUAUAGAUAUCGUUUAUCUGGGUAAACAAGAUAAACCCAGUGCAAUAAACUCGCGUUUUACUAAAUGUCUUUCUAAAUUAAAUGUGACCGAAAGUUAUGUUAAAUGGCGUGUUUGACCAUGGAUAACGUAAUCUGAGCAUGUAUAAUGGUUUUAUUUCAAAUAAUAUUAAACAUCAGUACCGUAAAAGGUAAAGAGAGUGUAGUGAACUAUUGUCCAGAAAAAGGCAGGGCGCACCAUGGAGAGUGGCGACUUCAUACCGACAAGGUCGGCUUUUUCUGUGAACUGAUAUGUCACCAUGGUUACAGUCCUAGCGGAUGCACUGUUCUCAUGAAAGACGGAUUUGGGGACUGGAACUAUGAUAUUCCAACGUGUCUGCUAGCUCGUAACAGCACUGUACAAACUCUGGAGAGUUCAAUACCAGGAUGCUAUAAACCAGUAAAUAAAUGUACAAAAAGAUCCUUUGGUAGCAUAGGAUGUAACCUAGCAAACAAAUUGCAGAGUCGGUUAGGUCGUUCUGUGUUCAUGAAAGCACCUCUCAUGUCCCCUAGUACCGGCUUAAGCAAACUUCUAUUUUAAAAAUUCAUUAUCAGAAAGGUCAAGAAACAAUAACACGCCCAUCCAUCUUUACUAACCUUUGGUUCAAAAAGGUUCAAAGUGGGCAUAAACAAGAGGGUCAUGAUGCUCCUAUAUCGCUCAAAAGAGUUUCAAAGCUCAAACAUGUAUAAUAAGAAACAUUUCUGGAAAAAUUACUUUCAAAACUAGUCCGCGGAUUCAUACGAUUCCACCAUAUACAGGACAUAUGAUGGCAAAGUGAAUACGCCCUCUGGCGGUUAUGUUUGGCAAAUCUGAUUACUAGUAAUGUGAAUGUUCUUUGAAAACGGUUAUCCCGAAGGAACAUUCAAAUGAAAAUAUUUAAAAAUCGGUCAAACAUUUCUGACAAAGUUCUUACUAUACACAUAAUUUUAUAAGAAAACUGGCUGCUAUGUGUUUGACGAGUUUCGGAAAACAUGUCGUUUGCAGAAAAGACCGGACGACGGAUGGACGGUGAUUGAUAACAAUAGCUCAACCCAAGCACGUUUUUGUUCAGACCCUUGGUUCUCUAUGUCGAGGAUUGUAUGUAAGGCAGCAGGGUUUAUUCCUGGAUAUGGAAUAUCGGUUCUAGGAUUUUCAAAGGCAGGAAUCGUUAAAAAUUCCUUUGCUGCAAAGCUGAUGAAAUGGCUGAAACACGUUGAAAAAGGAAGCAUAUUUUCAAGGAUACAAAGCGCUUCAAUGAGGGGAUACUAUCCGACAGAUGAGGUUGAGAUUAUUUGUGAAAUGGUAACACAGUUUUUCGCUUCAACACCAAAUUGCGAAACACCAAGAAGAAAGACAGAAUUGUAAGGCCAUACAAAACACGGUGCAAAUAUCGUCCAUUAGAUAUACAAUCUUAAGUAUGUAGGGAUAAUACACGUUUUUUUGUGUAUAAACGUCUGCAGAAGCCCGCGGGAUUGUUUGUGACCGAGACCGAAGGUCGAGGUCACAAACAUAUCCCAAGGGCUUCUGUAGACGUAAAUACACAAAACAAACGUGUAUUGUCGCUAUUCUUGCAUAAAAAAAUAUUUCACGACGAUUUAUGUAUUGUUUUCAUAUGUGAUGACUUGACGAUUCCGGUACAUUUUUUAUUUACCAUUCCUGUUGUUCUUGGAUACGGUAAACAUGUUUUAAAUAUCCGUAUCCAGGGCCCGGAAAUAAACAACACUAUCAAAAGCACAUCCUGAAGGUUUUUAACCGAUAUUUUUUAUCUCUCAUUAUUACAAACAUAAAAUUACCAAUAAUUGUUCAUAUCAUUUCACAAUUUGGUGGACUCGAUCACAAUUUCAAGAAUAAUAACUUUACAUUCGAGUUACAUUGAGUACGGACACGCAGUUGGAGUACGGAUGAGUACGAACGUAGUGUCAAGUUUCCAAGCUGUUUAUAUAAAUUCUUCGAGAAAUUAGAUAAAAACAUACCGACUGAUACUUACCAAAAUCAUAAAUAUGAUACCUAAAAACAAAGAAUUGCACAGGUAAACACGCGAUCUUUUAACAUUCACGGUUGUCUACAAAAUCUGAACUGACGCCGAGUUCUAAAAGGGGAGUAAACAAGGGAAGAAACGAAUACGAACAUUGUUUGGGGCAGCGCAUUUGCCGUUAGUUACUGAUACAGUAAACCAUUCUAUGGUUUAGAUUGCACCUUUAAUGCUUCAAGAAGAGGUUUUUAUGAAAAAAAACAAGACGCAGAUACCAGAUGUCAAUCUGCGCAGAAUUACAUAUACGUCCCUGGGAAAGCAUUUCAAAAAUAAAAAUCGGGUAUUAACAGCACGUGAAUUGCCUUGUUUGCACACGAUUUUUCUCCCGUUAAUACAUGGGCGGAUCCAGUGAAAAAAAGUAGUUUUUAUGCAAGAAUAUGUGUUGUUCCAUGUAUUCGGGAUUUUUUUUAGUGUUUUAUAUCAUACUGAAUACUGUAGUACUGUAUGAAUAUGGAUUGUGAUACUAACUGAUAAAGGACAGUUAUGUAUAAGAUACACAUAUCUUUUCUGUUUGUUUUCAUCGGAUGAAGGACGUCAUGAAAAUAUGUUUGCAUAUCAUAAUUAUGAUAUGUCCACUUUGCGUGUUCCCUAAACACUUUCUUUUUAUUAUUGUUAUUAAUGUUAUUAUUUUUAUUGUUAUUAUUAUCAUUGUUGUUGUUGUUGCUGUAAUGAGAUAAUGUUAUCGUUAAUUAGGAAUUUUUAAUGUAUUAGGCCCCUAAUAGUAAUGUUUAAAAAAUGGCAUUUGCUUUGUAUAUUCUUACAGUUGACCGUGCUUUGCACUGUGUUGCAAAUUUUUAAAAACUUUUACUGUGCCGUUUUUUUAUAAAUUUGGUGUAAUUUAUGGUAUUUCCUCAAGCUCAAGUAGAGACAAAUUUCAAAAUGAUGGCCUUUAUCUAAAACAUUUGCAGACAAUUCAUUUUACCAUUAUUUUUUAUGAAAGAAACAUUAAACUAUUGGUAAACAGUUAUAAAACUUAAAAUAAAACUGUCAAUAUCAUUUUUUCUAGGGUGCCUCAAGUAAACGGAUUUAAGGAGACAGAAUUCUAACUCCAACAUUGAAAAAUUAAGGUCGAAUUCUGCGGGUCUGUUUUGAAUUUUGCUCCCUCUAUUCAAAAAUAACAAUGGGGCAGAAGUAUAACCUACCUACAUUUCUUCCAUAAUAUGUAAUCUAAAGAAUGAAGGCAAAAUAGAGAACUUAUACCGCAUGCAACUCAGUAUUUUUAAAGAUGUGUAACUCUACCCCUUCUGUUUCAAAGAUAAAUUUACUUUGAACAGCAAGAAAUCGCUUGGUCCCCCCCCCCCCCCCCCCCCCAGAAUUGCAGUCAAAGUAGGUUUAUCGUAGGAAUUGAAUACCCUUCAAAAUGGAGGUACUCUAUUAUGGGCCUAAUACUUAAGGUCUUAUGCUAUAUGCAUAUAUGCACCAUCUCCCAUCUCAUUGAGGGGUUUAUUACAUCACUGAUCAUUGAUAUUUCACUAGAUGGUUCCGAAAAAGGAAAGGCUUUCAGAGGGAUUGAUGUGUUUGAAAAAUUUUAUACGAACGCUAUAUCCAGCCUCUCACUGCCUUCCUGGAAAAUGUAUAUGUGUGUAUAGAAUUCUUAUCUAUUAGUACGCACGGGUAACGAAAAUUAUUGUUAUGUGCAUUUGUGAAAAAAAUUGUAACAUGUCUUGUGGGUGAGAAUUAAAUAAACUAUCAGAAACUAUGUGGAUAAUCGUUUACGAAAUAUAUCAUUCCUUCUAGAUAAAAGUCAUAAUUAUCAUUUAUCAUUAUGAAUUAUAAUUGCAGUAUUUAUCAUCAUCACUAUCAUCUUAAGCAUCAUGGAUGAUCCCUUAUCAGACCAUGUAGUAUAUCUAUAAUGAGAUGUAUAUACU